AAUAGCCUGCAAACCACAUGGGGAUGUAAACCGCACUAGGCAAGCCCUGUGCAACAGGCUCAAAUCCAGAAGGCUUGCUAUCACAUUUUGAAAUUUUAUGUAUGGCACUUCCAUUGAAGCAGUCAUCAAGUAGCAAUAGAAACAAACAAUCAAGUAAUUUGCUUGUUCAUACCUGUUAUGCUGUGGCUUACAAGCACCUGUGAGAGUACGCUUGCAUCAAAGCCAACCACGCUUCCAUUUUCCUGAUAUGUCGUCACAUGGGGGAGGGGGAGGAGAUAUGCUGCAACUACAUCCAUGCUUUCGGAUUAGGUCGGAGCAGGACUUCACUAUUAUGUCGGCUUUACGUCAGCACGGUGAUUCACCUUAUGAUGUUUACCUUAAGCCUGAUAAUGCUCAUAUUUUUAAUGAGUUGAUUCAAUUUAGAAGAGAGUAUCCCAAUCUGGUUAUACUUUCUCCUAAUGGAGGACACGGACACCAAGUAGCUCCAAUCAAUCCACCCCUGGUUUCCUCUCUCGGGAGUGAGAUACGUAGGCAACCUAUUGUUGGUUCAGGGAUCAUAUUUAAAAUUUUUAAAAAAUUUUCUUCACUCUUUAUUA